rnacentral:rRNA from 1 species
UACGAAGGGGGCUAGCGUUGCUCGGAAUUACUGGGUGUAAAGCGCACGUAGGCGGAUUGUUAAGUCGGGGGUGAAAUCCUGGAGCUCAACUCCAGAACUGCCUUCGAUACUGGCGAUCUCGAGUUCGGGAGAGGUGAGUGGAACUGCGAGUGUAGAGGUGAAAUUCGUAGAUAUUCGCAAGAACACCAGUGGCGAAGGCGACUUACUGGACACAUAUUGACGCUGAGGUGCGAAAGCGUGGGGAGCAAACAGG